ACGGGGCCGCACAAGCGGUGGAGCAUGUGGUUAAUUCGAAGCAACGCGAAGAACCUUACCAGGUCUUGACAUCCGAUGCUAUUUCUAGAGAUAGAAAGUUACUUCGGUACAUCGGUGACAGGUGGUGCAUGGUUGUCGUCAGCUCGUGUCGUGAGAUGUUGGGUUAAGUCCCGCAACGAGCGCAACCCCUAUUGUUAGUUGCCAUCAUUCAGUUGGGCACUCUAGCGAGACUGCCGGUAAUAAACCGGAGGAAGGUGGGGAUGACGUCAAAUCAUCAUGCCCCUUAUGACCUGGGCUACACACGUGCUACAAUGGGCGGUACAAAGGGUCGCGAACCCGCGAGGGGGAGCCAAUCCCAAAAAGCCGCUCUCAGUUCGGAUUGCAGGCUGCAACUCGCCUGCAUGAAGCCGGAAUCGCUAGUAAUCGCGGAUCAGCAUGGCGCGGUGAAUACGUUCCCGGGCCUU
rnacentral:rRNA from 1 species